AUAUGUUAUAUUUUACUAGUAUCUGUUCUUAAAUCAGUUUUAAUAUCUGAUACAAUCCCCUAUCUGGGGACUACAAUAUUAAAAUAGAGUUUUAUGCAUCACAAGCUGGAACUGGGGGCUUGCUCCGUCAACUCCACGCAUCGGCCUGGUAUUGCAGUGUCCUCCAGGAACGCGUGUGCGCUUC